GAGUAACACGUAUCCAACCUGCCGUCUACUCUUGGACAGCCUUCUGAAAGGAAGAUUAAUACAAGAUGGCAUCAUGAGUCCGCAUGUUCACAUGAUUAAAGGUAUUCCGGUAGACGAUGGGGAUGCGUUCCAUUAGAUAGUAGGCGGGGUAACGGCCCACCUAGUCUUCGAUGGGUAGGGGUUCUGAGAGGAAGGUCCCCCACAUUGGAACUGAGACACGGUCCAAACUCCUACGGGAGGCAGCAUG
rnacentral:rRNA from 1 species